CCAACGGCCCUCUUUAGGGCCACAAUUUACUGAAAAUCCAUUUUUAU
rfam:Caenorhabditis elegans chromosome IV